CAGACCCGAGGAGUCGGAGGCCCGGGCUCUGCCACUACACACUGUGGUCCCCGGGGCCUAGGCUGGGCUGGGCACCAGGGGCUGCAGGAUUUUCUCUGGGGAUGUUCUCACACUGGCCUUGGCCCCUAGAGGAGGGAGGAGAGAAUGGAUCCCUCUCAUACAUCAAUUCAAGGACAACCGAUUUUUCUCUAAGAGGAAGACACCCACACGAAAACCGGAAGGCAGCCUUGAGUGUCGUGUGAUAAGUUUAUCGGCGCCAUCUCGCCAGCCACCCCCUCCCCAGGGUCUCGAUCAAUGGGACACAGUGCGCCUCCAGUCUGAGAGGCUUCCUUGGGUGGGUGGUGGGACUGCAAGGUGGCCCUUUGGCAGAGUCUACAAGAGCUAAAUUAGGUCGCCAAGUGGCCCAUUACCCACAUAAUCUAGCCCUACCUUCCAGAACAACUGAGAAAUGCCUCAGUGGGCAGAGCCUCAAGUCCACCAGAUAACAGGCCCCAACUUGACCUCUUGUCAUCAGAAAUCACUGCCAAGUUUCCAAGCCAGGGAAAGAGCAACAGUCGUGAGGCCUGUUCCACGCACCCACCUAUGAUCCUCUCGCUGGAGGCAGAGGAUCCAGGAUGGGUUAGGUCUGCAUCAUUUUAAGUCAAGCAGAACAGCAAUUAAGAAAGGCAGCUGGGACAGACAAACUGAUGGGACGCAUUGGUGAGGAGGAAGGAAGUCCAGGAGGAAGCUGACUUGGAAAUCCACUCCCCUUAAGACUACCCAUACCCUUUUCUAUCUGAAGAUCACCAGCCUAGAACAGAGCUGAAGAAAGACAGAUACUCUGUGUUGGAAAUUGCAAAAGCUCUCUGCAAGAACAACUCCAUCCGAACCCUGCCCUACGACACUCAACCAAGCUCUAGCAAAGCUUCUGGCAGCCUCAGGCCACACCCCUGGGACAACCCACCGCCGCUUUGCACUCCUGUGUGGAAAAGCUCAGGGCUGCCAAAAGAAUUCACCAUUUGUUCCAGCCAACACGUAAUAUCCUCUCCCUGGCAGAUCGAUGAUCAAUUACAGUGGGACCUUCAAUCCAGAUGGGGCUGGAGGAUCCUUUCUCAUGGUGAUUGCUACACUGAUCACAGAGGCCACCAGACCAAGAGGACACAGAGCUGCCCAUCCAGACAAGAUAAAACAGAAGCUGCCACUGCUCCCACGAGAGCCGCCUCCCACCGGAGCCUCUCCCCUUCCUCAGUGCACUCUUCACUGAGGAUUUAUUUGCUGGUGCUGUGGGGAGCCCAGGUCAGAUGCCCUGGCAGGACAGACUAAAUUCCUUCUAAAUUGAGGAAAGUGCCUCCUGUUGUGGAAGAAAAGGAAUAAGACCUUGGCUGGGCCCAGUGGCUCACGUCUGUAAUCCCAGCACUUUGGGAGGCUGAGGCGGGCUGGUCACUUGAGGCCAGGAGUUCGAGACCAGCCUGGCCAACAUGAUGAAACCCUGUCUCUACCAGAAAUAUAAAAAUUAGCCCAGCGUGGUGAUGGGUGCCUGUAGUCCCAGCUAGUCAAGAGGCUGAGGCAGGAGAAUCACUUGAACCUGGGAGGUGGAGGUUGCAGUGAGCUGAGAUCGUGCCACUGCACUCCAGCUUUGGCAACAGAGUAAG
rnacentral:lncRNA from 1 species